rfam:Gossypium hirsutum cultivar TM-1 chromosome 19, whole genome shotgun sequence
UAUUAAAAAUUUCAUCUAUUUGUAUUGUUAAAAACUAAUGUGACUGAUAGAAUAACCAAAUAGUGACGUGUGGCGUGCCACGUAUACCUCAUGCUGACGUACAAUGACUACUUAUACAUAGUAGAAAUGGAUAAAGUUUUUUAACA